rnacentral:rRNA from 1 species
AUUGAACGCUGGCGGCAGGCCUAACACAUGCAGUCGAGCGGUAGCACAGAGAGCUUGCUCUCGGGUGACGAGCGGCGGACGGGUGAGUAAUGUCUGGGAAACUGCCUGAUGGAGGGGGAUAACUACUGGAAACGGUAGCUAAUACCGCAUAACGUCGCAAGACCAAAGUGGGGGACCUUCGGGCCUCAUGCCAUCAGAUGUGCCCAGAUGGGAUUAGCUAGUAGGUGGGGUAACGGCUCACCUAGGCGACGAUCCCUAGCUGGGCUGAGAGGAUGACAAGCCACACUGGAACUGAGACACGGUCCAGACUCCGACGGGAGGCAGCAGGGGGGAAUAUUGCACAAUGGGCGCAAGCCUGAUGCAGCCAUGCCGCGUGUGUGAAGAAGGCCUUCGGGUUGUAAAGCACUUUCAGCGGGGAGGAAGGCGGUGAGGUUAAUAGCCUCAUCGAUUGACGUUACCCGCAGAAGAAGCACCGGCUAACUCCGUGCCAGCAGCCGCCGUAACAC